rnacentral:rRNA from 1 species
GAUGAACGCUGGCGGCGUGCCUAAUACAUGCAAGUCGAGCGAACAGACGAGGAGCUUGCUCCUCUGACGUUAGCGGCGGACGGGUGAGUACCACGUGGCUAACCUACCUAUAAGACUGGGAUAACUUCGGGAAACCGGAGCUAAUACCGGAUCAUAUAUUGAACCGCAUGGUUCAAUAGUGAAAGACGGUUUUGCUGUCACUUAUAGAUGGAUCCGCGCCGCAUUAGCUAGUUGGUAAGGUAACGGCUUACCAAGGCAACGAUGCGUAGCCGACCUGAGAGGGUGAUCGGCCACACUGGAACUGAGACACGGUCCAGACUCCUACGGGAGGCAGCAGUAGGGAAUCUUCCGCAAUGGGCGAAAGCCUGACGGAGCAACGCCGCGUGAGUGAUGAAGGUCUUCGGAUCGUAAAACUCUGUUAGUAGGGAAGAACAAAUGUGUAAGUAACUAUGCACGUCUUGACGGUACCUAAUCAGAAAGCCACGGCUAACUACGUG